GAUGAAGAACGUAGCGAAAUACGAUAAGUAGUGUGAAUUGCAGAAUUCAGUGAAUCAUCGAAUCUUUGAACGCACAUUGCGCCCCUUGGUAUUCCAUGGGGCAUGCCUGUUCGAGCGUCAUUUGUACCUUCAAGCUUUGCUUGGUGUUGGGUGUUUGUCUCGCCUUUGCGUGUAGACUCGCCUUAAAAUAAUUGGCAGCCGGCGUAUUGAUUUCGGAGCGCAGUACAUCUCGCGCUUUGCACUCAUAACGACAGCGUCCAAAAGUACAUUUUACACUCUUGACCUCGGAUCAGGUAGGGAUACCCGCUGAACUUAAGCAUAUCAAUAAGCGGAGGA
rnacentral:misc_RNA from 1 species